rnacentral:rRNA from 1 species
GACAGAGGAUGCAAGCGUUAUCCGGAAUGAUUGGGCGUAAAGCGUCUGUAGGUGGCUUUUCAAGUCCGCCGUCAAAUCCCAGGGCUCAACCCUGGACAGGCGGUGGAAACUGCCAAGCUGGAGUACGGUAGGGGCAGAGGGAAUUUCCGGUGGAGCGGUGAAAUGCGCAGAUAUCAGGAGGAACACCGAUGGCGAAGGCAGGUCUCUGGGCCAUAACUGACGCUGAGAAGCGAAAGCAUGGGGAGCGAACAGG